AAUUAUUUACUGAUUUACUUAUUUUUAUUUUAUGAAUUUCUGGUCAUGGACGCCCCAUGCAAGAGCACGAAAUAAGAAAGUCAUACAAGAGCCUUGAACGACAAAGAUGAGCAUUAAAAUAUUAUUGGGCUCAAUGAAAAUCUAACCGCCCCCUCCCCCUCCCACUCACUCCCCUUCCCCAUCAAGAAUCAAAUGGUCCGCCCCUUACGCACGACAGUUAAAUACCAGUUCAAAUCUAGAAGUGAUUCACAUCCUGAAAAACCAACCAUCCGACGCUGAUCAAGUACAUUAUCCUGCUCGCAAGCUCGUGGCAAAAGGUAAGGCAUAAUUAUUUAUGUUACUUUCGAAUAUCUAAUGCUGUUGUGCAGAAUUUUUCAACUGUGAAAUUUAUUUGCACUUUUUCGACUUUAUCCAAUUCUCAUGUUGCCGUUGUAGGAAUAGAUUAGACAAGAAAAAAUUUUUGCGACCUUAUCUGCGCAUCAAACGCGCAAUAUAAACCCAAACUGCGUCUUUCUUGUAGUUUUGUGCGCAUGCGGGGAUUUCGCAGCGCAAGCUACAGAAAUUUACAAACUGAUACUCAUUUGCAGCAUAUUUUCGACGCUGGAUUUCAGUGGUGCUUUUCACAUUGGUCGAUCCGGACUUUAACCUCCGAAACGAGAAGCUUCUUCGCUCUGGUCACCGAAGCAUGCACUAAUCGUUUUAGGGAUUAGGGAUCUGUUCGUUCUUUAUAUCUGAGAAUGAAACCAAGGAAAUUAAAAAUAGUAACAACUUUAUUCAAACAGAAAUGGCAAUAUUGGUACACAAGUUCUGAUUAUUAAAUGAACGGAACGUGCGAUUUUUUUGAUAGAGCAAGCAUUCAAAAAUAAAUCCGCCUGAGAACAGUAAACCUAGUAUUUCUUGCAAUGAUUGAAUAGUGAUGUUCAUUUCCGAUCUCAUUUAUACCGCAGUGUUGAUAGAUUCUUUCAUCGUAUGGAUCAUUGCUAUAUCGAACCGGUUUCAGCUGCGUAGGAGGUGUUUAUUUUUCUAAUAAAAUCUAAAACUUCUAUAAUUAUAUGACUUCAAACUUGAAAUAGAGUGAAUCUUGUCUAUAUAAGUAAUCAACACAUUUAUGAACCAUUUAGUAGCUAUUUUACAAUGCAAAUAUAAAUAUGACCAGAACACCAGAAAUCAGUAAUAAUUCGGUGGUAUUCAAAUGCCCAAAGUAAAGCUGGAAAUAGUGACUGAAAGGCUAAUUCAUCAUCCUUUUUAAAACAGUAGUAGCUUGCGAACUACAUUUUUUCAGUAGCGAAUUAAAGUAGUGAAUUAGUUUUCAAGCAACAAUCGCUAUAACGUUAACUUUUCAAAUUUCUCAUCAAUCGAUUGGAUAUGGUAUAAACAGAAUAUGGUAUCACACCAAAUCUCACCACCAGAGCGGGCAGAUUUUUUGCGGUCCACUUAGUCCAGCGCCAAGAACCCGGCUCAGAGUUUGAUAAGGUUUUCUUACAUUGGCAGUGCUUAAUCUCUUAAUCUUGUUCUAACACUGUACAUAAUAUUAGGGAGGUUCAGAUAUGACUUCCACUGCCGCCAUCGCUACCAUUCAGGGACCAUUAUUCGUUAACCAAUAAGAUGCACGCGCUUGAUAUAUCCGAUUAGCCAAUCAGAUGCUGAGAUGCGUAUACUAAGCCAGUGAGAGGUAUAGUGUCGUGGCCAAAGGGAAAUUGCUAGAUAGUAUACUUCAAAAUAAGGUUUCCGUUUUUAUAUCAAUUUUUUAAAUAAGUUAGGGUUAGGUUAGGGUUAUGGUUAGGUUAGGGUUGGGGUUAGGGUUAAGUUUAAUAUUAGGGUUAGAGUUUAGUUUUGCGUUAGGAUGUUUUUUUUCUACGUUAUAAAAACGGAAAUCUUAUUUUGAAGUAUACUAUCUAGCAAUUACCGUGGCCAAAGGGGAUGGACUAGAGGGUUAUCUUUUCAUGUCACGCAAUCACGAGACCUAAUCCAAUCGUCCUGCUAACCAAUCAUAUUUCGUGAUUGCCACAGACUCGUCCCCAGUCGUUAUCUGAAUUUCAAUUUUAUAGGGACGAAUAGGUAUAUCCAUAUCUAUAAUCUACAUAUAUAGAUCAGUACCAAAGGUGGACGCGCGCAAGGGGAAAAGGGAAGGUUUUUGUUGUUUUUCAAGCGUUUAUUAGCGAAUGGGAAACUCCAACAUGGCCGCCAUCUAUUCAAAUGGGGGUAACCGCUGGAAUAUUCUUGGCUUCAAUUUUACUAAAAGAGAUGCGCUAUCUAGUGUAUACAGCUAUUUCAAUUAAGGUUGUCCCCCGAGCAAAGCGGAAAAGUCGAAUACAAGCGCGAACCUUUCGCGCUUGUAUUCGACUUUUCCGCUUUGCUCGGGGGACAACCUUAAUCAAUAGCUGUAUACGAUAUCUAAGCUAAGUUAAAACUAAGACAUAAACUUCUCCAGCAAUUCCUGGAUAGUUAUUAAGUACUUGUUUUUCAGUAGUUAAUCAAUAAGCGUUGUCGAUGUUACUGUUGUUGUGUUAUCAUCAUCGCUGUUGUUGUUGUUGUUGUUGUUGUUGUUGUUGUUGUUGCUGUUGCUGUUGCUGUUGUUGUUGUUGUUGUUGUUGUUGUUGUUGUUGUUGUUGUUGUUGUUGUUGUUGUUGUUGUUGUUGAUGUCCAUGUCGCAGUUUUUGUGAAAUUGUCCUUGUUUGCUAGUAAUAUGUUUCAAUAAAAUUAAUUAGGACUAAAUGUAGUAAUAAUACAGUAAGUUUAUGUGUUUGUAAAUUUUGUCACUGAAAAGCCCCUUCAGGGGAGUGUGAAUAAUGUCAAUAAUCAAUAUCUAUGGACAUUACCCGGUAGCGGUAAUGGAAGUCAAAUCCGUGAACUUCUCUACUGAAUGGUUUGUGCCAGUGUAUGUAGUGGCAAUAAUAAGUGAAAGCUUUGGAUUGAUAGGAAUACAACUACCUGAAAAAUACAAGGAGAACCUCGAUGUUUCAAGCGAAAAGUUCUCCUUCGUUUGUAUACCUAGGCACCUAUAGUCCCCCAUAAAUUCUACAUUUUUGCCGAAAUUCUCAGACAUUUUUUUAUGUGUGAUAGCUAAAUCUGAUAAUUACACUAAUUGAAUAUCAAAAUUAUUGAAAUGAUUGAAUACUUAAUUCAUUCAAUACCUAUAAACUGCAGCGGAACAGGUCAGAACGAAAAUAUUCAUAAUCAUAUAGCCUGCAGCCGUACCUUGUUUUUAAUCCGUAACUACUAUGGCUAUACUUCACUAUUAAUCUUGUAUUUACAAGAUAAAUCCUGAAGUAGAGAUCCUGUACACCAUUUCCUAAUUGAAAUGGCGACAUGUAGUCUAAUGAAAAUGUUAGCCAAAAACUAAAACAUGAAGAAUUACAUGACUUUCAAGCACUUUAUAAAUUCAAGACUUUCAAGGCACGCAAGAGCCUUGAAUUUUUGUUUUCAAAUUUUCAAACGACUUUCAAGUUUUGAACAAACCCUGAGACGCCUAUAUCUUAAUCUAUGGUAUACUAUUACGUUUUAAUGGCGCAUCAUCAUCACAAAGAAAUUGAAUUACAAUGUCCUUACAUAAGUUAUAACGUUACAAUAAAACUAAUACUAUAUUUACAAUUUUAAAUAAAAUAGAAUCGAAAUGGCAUGUUUGAAACUCGAAUCAUACUUGGGAAAAAGCUUUUCUUAAAAAGAUCAGUUCUACAUUUGAAUUACGUAAAUUAUAGUUCACGUUUUCUCUAGUCUGAGGUAAAAGAUGAGGCAGCCGGUUACCAUCAAUCUAGACGAGGACAAUGGAGUGAGACACUGCUCACUCAAAGCUUUUCGGCAAGACGUGCCAAGGAGGAUUAUAUUCAGUGCUCUUUUCUAGACUCUUUCAAAUUAGGGCAGCCAGAUGAGCUGUAAACGAACGGCUAUGCCAUACUAUAGAUCGAUCGAAUACGGAGUAUAUUCGGCUCUAUUUAGACGCAUGUUACCACGAGAAACGGCCACGUACGGCCAAUGGUAUGCUCUGUGGGCUCGUUAUCCUCGAUCCUCUCCAAUGCGGAAGAGGUUCGAUUUCGCUGGCCUCAGAGUAACAAGACGUAUCAAAGCAACCGGUUUUACUAACACUAACCUUAUUCCAACACCAACUCUAACCCUAAUCCUAACCCUACUCCAAGUUUGUUUCUAAACCAAUCUUGAAGAAAAACGGUUUGACGAAAUGUCAUUCUGAGGUCAGCGAAAUAACUUCUUCCCUCCAAAGCAUGGGCGUAAAUCCUAUAAAAAUCGGCCGACAAAUAUCGUAGCGCGUGGGCGGCCCGACUAAUAGAAAAAUAUCGACAUUAAAAUCAAAUAAUGAAUAAAACUUCUACCGGAAUAUCCCAUCAAUUUGAUAUUUUGUCACAGUAAUACAAUUAAACAGGACAGUUAUGAUAAGUUAUAAUCUGCUGAUACCUAAGUUGACAAAUCUACUAUUAUCUCUUAAUAUUAUCUUCUUAUAAUAAUAUAAGAUUUUUUUGAAGACCCAUCCUAUAUCUUUUUAUAUUAAUUUUUCGAUGACAUUACUAUUAUUGUACUUUUAUUGCGGUUGUUUGCAAUGUAUAAUUAAUAAAUACAGUCCUUGUUAGUAAUUUUUAGUUCACUGACUCACUGAGUAGAUUUGCCACGAGACCGACUUACAAAUGAAUGGCAUAGUAUAGGGUGAUCAAAAAAUGUGUCAUUAAUUAAAUUAAUUUUUUUCGAAUGUUGAAAAUCUUCUUAUAUUGUCUAAAAUCGUCUUAUAAUGCGAAUAUAAGAAUUAAAUAGAUCUUAUUUUGAGAAAAAUCUUCUUAUAGUGAAUAUUUGCCUGCUCGCGGUAGGCAAAAUGGCUUUCGAAAUAUAAAAGUAUAUAAAAUGUGCAAACUUAGUUGCAAGGCCAUAUUAUCCUUACUUUACAAUAUUUUACCACCAAACUUAGCAUUUUACUACGGUGGUGUUGGAAUUUCAUUUCUUAAUUAAUAUGACCAUGUGGACGAGCGUACUCGAUUUUUACAUAAAUACGAUUUUCACAUUGUAAAAUGAAUGUCAUUAAAACGCUUAGUCAAAAGUCAAAACCUUAAAAUAUAUGUUAUGCUUGGCUGGAAAAAGAGUUUCCUCCAAAUCCUGUCGCAGAAACCCACUGGGUGGCACUGAGUUUUAUUAACUUUUUUUUCAACCAUGCAAUGCGUGUUAAGACUCUUACAUACUUGACCAGUCGACUUAUAAAAACAAUCUUCACAUACAUUUGAGUGGUUUUAACUGUACCUACGUAGUAAAUUUGUCAGUUUCCUAUUCCCAAAUCUUGUUUGAAGUGAAAAAAAAUAUUGGUGUGAAUAAUCCGGCAUAACAAUUUAUUCGUCCAUUAAUACUAUACAGGUUGAAUCCGGAGUCCGGAGUACCUGAAGAUACUUAAAUUAAGAAAGCCUGCGGUAUUUUGGCUGAUAAGCCGGCAGUAGAUAAGUACGUUUUGUAUGACAAGAUUUCAUAUAUGACCAUUAGUUGUAUUAGCUAGUCGUCUGUCAAACUUUGCCAAGUUUUUCGAUGACAAGUGCACUGUCUUGUUCAAAAGCUAACAUAUACUUGUCAGAAGACCGAAGUGCAAAUUUUGCUCGUCUGCAUGUAAUUGGCUGUAUAUAGUCAAGUAUCUGAUUGGAAGCACGUAUUCUCAAUAAUUGAAAAAAAAAUUUUUGUUCAAAAGUGCAAAAAUUAACAUAUUCAACGCAAAAAUAUAGGGUCAUUCAUUAAGUAUAAUAAUUUUACCAUAGGCAGCAGGAUUGGUUCCCUAAUUCGCUCAAAACGUCGAAAUGUUUUGGUAGCUUUUAUAUUUUUUCGGGUAUAGCUGUUCAGACGCCUGAAUGCACGCAGAUUAUGCUAAUGUGUUAUACGCAACUCAAUUUCCUGCCGUUGUUUCAGAGAAAUAAAUUCUUGUCAUAAACGUCAAACAAAACAAUAAAACAGCAAACAUCGGAUGUUGUUACUAUUCCUUAUUGCGUCAAUAUUGAAAAUAUUCACAAAUGAUCCAAAUAUGAAUGAGAUGGUGCUUUCCAGUUAAGAGCUUUUCAAAUUAUGCCUUUCUUAACUGAUUCAUGCGUCGCCCUUCUGUCGAACCUAAUUCGUCGUGAAGGGAAUUGGUUUGGUUGGGGGAGAGGGGCUAGGCGAACUCUAGAGGGGUCCGGACUUAUGUUCAUCUGGGCAAUUUUGAAAUCUAAACUUUCUAAAAAUAAUAAUAUUUAAUCAACAUAGAUACCAGUUCAAUGCCUUUCGGUAUAAUAAAAAUCACUGAAGAAUGCAUUAAAUCUAUAAGUAACAAACAAAUAGUGAUGAGCUUUUUGUCAGAACCGCAUAACUAUAUUUCGCAACUGGAGUCAUAAUUGACAUAACAAUCAAUUCAUUUCACCACGACUGAAAACGAUAUGUCAUUGUGUACAUUCGGGCAGCGAGGAAUUUUUGAAGAUUAAAGGUCUAAUAUAGCCACCAUAUAUCCAUAUGAUCAACUAAUAUGACAUAUGGUCGGAUGUUAGGUCUAAAGUUCUAAACCGCACGAGUCAUUAAUUCUCAUUAUUUUAUUAUUAUUAUUAUUCUUGGUGAGUGUAAGCAUGGAAAUGUCAUAACCAUUUACUAAUGUUACUACUUUAACUCCGGGAAACUUGAAUGCCUAUCGUAUAUAAUUUGUUCAUGACACAGAACCCAACAUUCGCUGGCAAAGAUUUUACAGAAUUCUGAUGGUCAGAAAACGAGGUAUAUAUUAGAAAAGCAAAUUUUACUAUAGACUUUUAUGUUUUCCUGUUUUUUUAUACGCCGACAUGAUUUGAAUGUAUUUUUACCCAACAAAUUAUUGAAUAUAAUACUUUUUUGUUUGUUUUUUUAUCGCGCCAUGCAAACCUACAAAGAACCGAUUAAAUUAUUGAAUACUUGAUAAAUUUGACCUACAAAACAUUUGGGAGUGUCACACACCCCAACGCCUCCCCCAUGAUUUACGCCCCUGCCUCUAAACUGUAAUACUGGCCCAGUCCACUGAAAUAAAAUAAGACUGGAUAAACCAUCUGCUGUGCAUAAGUGAAGCCAUUGGCGGCCAUAUUGGAUGGUCCCACCAUUAAUCUAAUCGGCUGGUGUUGUGCACUUGUUUAACACUUCCUUUACGUUUCUAUAGUCACUAGUGGGAAAGGACAAAUAUUGCCUAGAUAAGAAUUUAUCAUCAGUAUAUAGCCUCUCUUUUUUCCUAAAUUUGCCAGUGAAUAAGUACAAUUACUUAUCAAAUAUGGCCGCCAUAAUAGCCUCAAUAUGUGGCCGUAUAAAACAUUCUAAAACUAUUUCGAAGAGGUUUUGGAAGCUAUAUUUCACAAGUCACAUAGGCAAAGAUAUUUGCUAUGGUCAUGAAUUUGACUGAUUUAUAAAUCUCAUCUCAUUAAAAUAUUCUGGCUUCAAAAUCGGGUUCUGAAGUCAAUAGGAUUCUUUAUCCAGUCCUUAGUUCAUAUCAGUGGUCCAGGGUCAUUGCAGGAGGAAACUGAAAACAUAUUUCCAGCUGAGAUGACGUCAUAUUUAUGUCAUACAUAAAAAACACAGAUUGUUCUUUUCUGUUCGGAACAAACAGAAGUAAUUAUCAAGAAGCACUGAUGUGUGCUGCAAAUAAACACAAACUGCAUAAAUAGCAUAAAACUUGGAAUAAACGUUCGUGUAGUUAUCUUUAAAGUAGAUAACAAUAAAUGUAGGAAAAGGCAUUUGAGGAACUUAAAUAUUAUAUUUCAGAUGUUAUCAUUCUUUUGUAGUUAAACUGAUGCCUUGGCUAUAAUCUCUUGAUUGUUUGGGAUAAGCCUACCUGUUAUAUUAAUAAGAGGGUAUUGAUGGGGUAUAUCCCGUGAGUCUUGAUUGCUCAAUUUCGGUUACCGUCAGUCCAGGCCCGUAGCUGGGGGGGGGGGCCUGGGGGGGCAAUGCCCCCUCACUCGGUGUGGCAGUGCCCCCCCACUCGGAAAUUGGGUAUGAAAAAUUUAGAGAAAGGGCCUGGAAACAAAUUGUAAUAAUGGAAAAAUUCUGUAAAAUUUGUGGAAAAUUUUGUGAUUUUUGAAAAAUUUUGUUAGGUUUCGGAAAAAUUGAGUGUGUCCGGAAAAAUUGGUAUGUCCGGAAAAAAUUUUUGACCCCUAAAAUGGUACACUGACCGAAAUUUUUUUGGCGACGGGGGGGGAGGUCGACAAAAUAAAUUCAUUUUUUCCGUCCGUUACAUUUUUUCUGCAGUGAGUGCCCCCUCAAAAAUUGAGAGCCAGCUACGGGCUUGCGUCAGUCGUGAAAACACUAAAACAGUUUUACCGUGAAGCGUGAGGGAAAAAAAAACUAUUUAUUGUAUCAGAACACUUUUCAGCAGAUUCAAAGAUUUACCGUUAAAAUACCAAAGUUACCGUUAAAAUACCAAAAUUUUUACCGUUUAUAUACUUGUCACUUCAGACUAUACUUGGAUAUGAGGCUCCCAAAAGACGCGCGAUCUAAAUUUAACAUUGAAAUUGACAGACAUAUUGAAAUGUUCUGCAAGUCUAAAAAAAUUCAAGACUUUUCUGGCAACCAGUCAACCUAGCUGCUUUGGGAUAUUUUUAGAGCAUAGUGUAAGAUUCCUCCCCGCCUGAAUACACCGGCAUCUUGCGACCGGCGACUCGAGUCACUCGACCACUUAGUAUACACCAAAUUUUGUCUCCCAGUUAAGCGUUUAUAUGACAAUCCAGCUACCUUGAUAUUUAUCGACCAUGUACACAUGACAUGUAGCUCACAAAGAUGUGUUUCUUUGGAUCCCCCCCCAUGAAUCACGCACUGUGUGAUAAUUUAUGCACACCGCACACGGUCAAUUCCAAAGAAAAUACCGUAUAAAAAACAUGGGUAAUAAAGAUGAUAAGAGUUUGAAAUACAUAAAUUUUGCUAAGCAAAAGUGAAUACGGAUUUUUCUACAACAGAGCGCUGUCGGGCAUUUUUUUGUUACCGUUCUGUAUCGACGUAUCGCGAAUUUUCCAGAAAUACCUCCCGAAGGUAAGAGUACGUACGAGGUUGCCUAUGUUAUUGUUUCCUUUUCUCUGGGAUUUGCGAGUGUUUUUCUGGGUUGCUAAGCGACCGCAAUGUUCAAGCUCGUGUUACAGGUAGUAUUCGGUUUCAAUUUUUUUUGCAUAAACAUUGCAAACAAUAGGUCAGGUCUGGUUGCAGAAUGUCAGGUUUUCAGUUGACGCGAUCGUGCGGACGAGAAAAGAACGCAACAAAUAGCAACAGUGUUUAAAAAACGCCCUAAGGACUUGCAUUACAUUGAAAACGUGAGUAAGCAAUAGCGCACUGGUUGGAUAUUUACAUAAAAUCGUCGGCACUUGCAGAGAUCAGCAGAGUUUUCAAAGGUUAGUAAAGAUUUAAAGAUUUGAUGGCAGCCAUUUUAGACCGCCGGAGAUUACCCACAUAUAGUACCACAGUUGAUAGUACAUACCAAAUUGAUGCGCUAUGGGUAGUGUUUAUGUUAACAUUCAAUAUUUGCAUAUCUUGAUAACCAGAGCAAAGCGACGUAUCUUUGCAGAUUCAGUGAUGUAAAAAAUGUCAUUUUUCAAGCAUUGCUCAAUUGAAUUUCGACCAUAGGGCUAAGGUAUUAAUCUAGCUUUGCUUAUGCUGAAUGCUCACAGCCUCACGCUAAAUGCUGAACAAGUAUAAAAGCUAUAUGGAGAAGGAAUUGCCGAGAGUUCGUAUUCUUUAUAUCGAAUGCGUAAAUUUCUCUCGUGACAUAUGCAAAUUAGCCAGAUGGUAUUCACAAGUGCGCUCAUCUUAUCCACAGGCUAGGGGUUGCGGCACUUGCAACUCAAUGCUGUGGUCCAUCUGUGUUCGGUAUUUGUUUAUACAAAUCACCUUAUACAUAUAUAUUUUGAUUUGUACAUAUACUCUGUACACGGGGAUGCAUAAGAGCACUGAUCAUGGCAUUUAGGUUGACUGGGAAAUACCCUAAUGAAAUAUUUCUCUGCGCCUUUCGUGGACCAGCUCUCAGCUGCUUGGAUUAAGACUACAGACCUUUAUACGAUGUAUAGGAUGGCAACCCAACGACGAUGACCAGAAUAAAAUCAUUCAAAUAAACGAUUGUAAAGAAAGUUUGUGGACUAUUAUUUGCUCGUAUCAAUUUAAUAUUGUUUGGUUAGCUUGAAAUAGUGGCUUUAUUGUUCAGAAGGUUCUGCUGUAGUACUGAGCUAAUUUGCCAAGUAUCACUUCUCGCGUCUUCAAAUGCAGGCGUUUUAUCCAAGACGUAUUCAUUUUUUUCUUAAAUAUUAUGAAUCUCACAUGAAUAGCCGUCGUCGUCACAUCGGCCGUCCCACAACGUAAGGUCUCUAAUGGCUAAAACCGGACGAGAAUAAUGAAGUCAUAGUCACCGACAUGUCCAUGGUUGUCUGAGAUGUGCGCAAAUCGGUCUUUACCGAUUAUAUAUUAAACAGUGCAUGCGCAAGUAAUUAAAAUGUGGUACAGUAUAAACCAUGUUCUGCCGACAACUUAAGAAACUACAAUACAAAGCAUAUAUGUUCCAAAUAAAAUAAUAUUUGGGGUAUAUACAUAUAUAAUGUGUCAUGGUUUACAGCUGAUUGAGCGGGCCACCUGAAAAAGAUUAAUACUCGAAGUCGCUCAAAACAUCGAAAUGUUUUAGCUUUUAUAUUUUUUCGAGUAUAGCUGUUCAGACACCUGAAUGUACGGUACAUUUAAUAUGUAAUGCAUGGUUGCGCAAAAUUUCCUGCCGUUGUUCCAGCGAAAUAGAUUCUUGUUAUAUAUUAUGAAUAUGCUGUUCCUUAAUGCGUCAAUUAGAACAUUUUAAAUAUUCACAAAUGAUGGAAAAAGUGCUUUCCAGUUAAUCGUUUUCCUUAUUGCGUCAAUUAGAACAUUUUAAAUAUUCACAAAAGAUCAAAAAGGUGCUUUCCAGUUAAGCGUUUUUCAUAUACGUGCGUGUACGCGACGGAAAAGUUUAAAUCGACCAUUUACAUGUUACUCAGAAAUGGUGUGAAAUAAGUAAAUAUUACGAGAUGGCAAGUAACGAAAAAUUGAGUUGGGUUUGGUACAUGAGUUGAGUGGCGUAUGAAUCAAUGCCGCUCCAUUAUCGCAUAGUUCGACAGGCGCUGUCUAACUUCUGUCGAACGUUUGUCGCUUCAAAUUCUGCCUUACUUUUAAAACUGAUUCAUGCGGCGCUCUUCUGUCAUACCUAAUUCGUCGAUAACGUUCGCCGCAUGAAACCGUCUGAAACGGACCAAAAACGCUUAUUUGCCUGAACGUUGUCUAACAAUUAUUAUAUUGAAUAUAGUCAUAGUAGAAUUUUAAAGCCUUGAAGAGCUUUAAAACCACAUUUGUUCAAAGACUUGUAAUAUUAAAUUAGCCGCGUAUGCACACAGGUGCGGGUCAGCUGUAUGGCCACGGCAAUUACCAUGCCAGGACGAUUCCGUUCGUUUAAAUUUACGACUCAGGCUGCCUCUACUGUUUACCUUGUUUUUGAUAAUUGUAAACCUUUCUUUGCAGAAUCAUCUAUAUGUUUGAAUGCAUUUUUGUCUUGCUGUUUCAACAGCCUGACCCGCAUUUCUCAUUUAAGUUAUUGCGACUCCACCCACCAUGUUUCCUCGACCAUGGGCAUGGUGGGUUAGGCGUGGAAAAUGAGGCUUUUAGAUUAGCCGAGUAAUGAUUAGGUCUAACCGUUUGUUAAUUAAAAUAAAUUCAAAUUUUACUUGCAACAAAUCAUCCCGUUGCCAGGUUGGCCUAACGCACGGCUUACAUUCGAAUUGUACUUUAAAUAUUGAUGCUUUUGUGUGCAUAGCCAUAGUUAUGUUUUGAAACAGUGUCGGUGAAGACAUUUGAAAACGGGCGAAACCACUGCCUAAUUGCUCGCAAAAUUAAAUUAUACUGAAAUCUUUUUUUCCGCAAAAUUCUCACUAUAGUCUAUGGAAAUAGCGUGGAUCUUCGUUGGAAACUAAUAUGGAAAUCCAAUUUCAUAUAUACUAAUAGACCUUUCCCCUUUUGGGUGAAAUUUUGAUCUAGACAAGUCUGGACAAAAAUUUCAUCAGCUUGAAAGAGCAUCACAAAAUUAGUAAUAUUCCGAAGUUUCGUUGCGAAAUGUUGUAAACUACGGAUAAUAUAGCCUUGCGAAGUUUGCCGUUAUUCAGUCAUUUUGUAUUACAAACGGGAAAUUAGUAAUCAGAUGAUGAAACUGAUUAUCAAUUUCCCAUUUGUAAUACAAAAUGACUGAAAAACGGCAAACUUCGCAAUUAUCCGCAUUUUACAAUAUUUCGCAACAAAACUUCGGAAUAUUACUAAUUUUGUGAUGCUCUUUCAAGCUGUGAUGAAAUUUUUGUCCAGACUUGUCUAGAUCAAAAUUUUACUCAAUAAGGGGAAAGGUCUAUUGCAAUUUCCAUACUAUAUGGAUAUAGAUUAUAGUAUGGAAAUAAUAUGGAUAUACUACGGAUUUAGUGCUCAAAUCCCAUAGUAUAAAUUUCAAUUUUUUGUAUUUUUUUCCAGUGUUAACUAGUCAGUGGAGUGGUGCCAAUGUAGAUACAUGCGAGGGUAUAUCAGCGAAUUAGCUGAAUUCUGAAAUUCUCAGAGUUGCAUUUUUCUAUUAUUAGCAAUUGGUGCGUGCCUUGCGAUGCGCGCAUGACUAAAACAUCGACGAAAUUAUUCAUAUAAGACCAUUCUUACGUGGUAAUAUCAUUGAUAUUAUCACAAUUGAAAAGACGUGACCAUGUAAAAAAUAGGAUGUUGGACUAAGAGAAUAAAUGCUGCUUUGCAGCUGAUAUGCGUGCGUGUGCGCACGGAAAAGUUUUUUUAAGUCGUUCUAAAUUUCAUAUUAGCACUAAUUACCUCAACAAAUACAAAUUAAAUUACACAGAAAAUUAAACCUGUCCUUGUAUUCAAAUAGUUAUUUCGAAAGUAAAAUUUAAAAGGGUUUAAGCUUUUCCGUGCGUGCGUGUUAUAUGCACCUAUAAAAAACAGCCUUCUCACGCACGACGCAUUAAAAAAUCAAUAUUUAAUACACUUCAUAUAACUAUUUUAUGAUUCACCUUCUCUUCAUAAAAAUAGAUCUUGAACUCAAGCUUUACAUUUUAUUUCUUAUUAACUUUAUAAACGUGGUUUUUCCACAAAACAGAUCAGUUACAUUGACAAUCUUAUCCGAUUCGGUGCCAUACCUCUGUUGCCAUACAUAGGUCUACAUAUACAAACGUAUCACAGGCAUUCAUUGAAUAGUUGAAAUACCAAUAGCUGAUUCCAUGUACAUAAGGGGCGGACCAUUAGAAAUCCCGGGAGGGGGGGGGGGUGAAAAUUCCCCCAAAGAAAAAUUCGUGCAAAGAAAAAUGCCUGGAAAAAAAAUUCGUGCAAGCAAACAGAAAAGUCAUGGGUGUACCGGUCAGUUUGUAGUCGGGCAAUAUUCGCUGAACAGUCGGGCAAUUUUAGUUUAUUAAAAAAAAAAAAUUGAUAAAUUCUGUCAAUUUUGUGGUAACUUUUGGUAUGUGGUAUGUCCUGAAAAAAUGUUUGACCCCUAAAAUGGUACACUGACCGAAAAAUUUUUGGCGACGGGGGGGGAGGGGGGGGGAGGUCGCCAAAACAAAUUCCGGAAAAAAAUUUUCGGUACUUGUCGGUCAAAAUCAAGAAGUCUUGAAACAAAAUUCGUGCAGAGGUUAAAUGCAUUAAAAAAAUUCCUGCAGAGAUAUGAGACUGAAAAAAAAAUUCAUGCCGCAAAAAUUUUAUACCCCCCCCCUCCCGGGAUUUCUAAUGGUCCGCCCCUAAACCUUAUUUGGUUUUGGUUUAAUUAAGAAACUUCCCAUCUUAUACUAUCCGCACACAAAAGAAACUUGCCGAGCUAGCUGCCAUGCACGCGAGGCGGUUAGCUCAGCAAGUUGCUCUCGUGUGUGACAGCCUUAAGUUAAGAACUGCAUGCUUCAAACUUUGAUCGGCAUUCUGCAAUGACUAAUUUGAUCGCAUGUGAAGAGUGGUAUUGAUGUCAAUUAAUAUUAUUAUCCUAUUCAAGCUCCAUACAAUUAUAUGAUAUUUCUGUAGUAUAUUAUUAUUUUAUAUUAUAUAUUAUACAAAUAAUGAAUGUUUAUGAGUGCAAUGGUAAGAAUAUUUUCAUGAGGUGAAAGAUGGAAUGUUCCAUUCAACGAGGCGACAGCCGAGUUGAAUGGAACAUUCCAUCUUUCACCGAAGAGUGAAAGAUGGAAUGCGAUUUGGAAGGGAUGCGAUUUAUCGAAAACACAACAAGUGCAAUUGUACUAUACGUUUUAUUCCAUUGCACUCGCGGAGAGUGCAAUGGAACGUGUUCCAUUGCACUCUUGGGAAAUGGAAUUUUCUAUUCAAUAUCACGUGACCAUAAACAGCCAAUUACACGAUUAGAAUUUAAUAAGGUAUUAUAUAAUAUAUUAUAUCAAUUAUUAUAUAUUAUAUUUUGCACUUGUAUAUGUUACAUGGAAUUAUUAUUUUUUAUUUAUUAUAGAGUUUAUUUACAAAAAUAUAAGUGCUGACCCCCUGUUAUAACCAUGAAGGCUAAGGAACCGGUCAUUUAUAAUGGGGGGGGGGGGUGAUAAAUACCAAAUAUUGGACAUUUUUAGAGCCGCCCCCGAUCGCAAGAGCUUUAUUUUCAAGACGCCCCCACCUUCAUCUAGAAAAUUUAGGACUCCCCCCAGUCCCCACUCCAACAUUUAAUUCGUUACAUUUUCUGGUGUAAAAUAGGUAAUGGGACAAGUACUGGUGUAAGACAUUGUGUAGCCUAAAUAAUUAGAGGACCAGUAUUCAAAAUGGUUGUUAUUUACUCCGAUUCCUAUGGUGAACUGCAUAUCCGUAAUAAAGUGUGGAAACUACGACUAUAGGAUAAAGGAUACGACUAUAGGAUUCCUAUGGUGAACUAUUGGUAUAGGAUUCCUACGGUGAACUAUAUGGUGACUAUAGGAUACGACUAUAGGAUUCCUAUGGUGAACUAUUUUGUUGCAUACGAUAAAGGCGAGAGAUUGAAAAUGAGUAGGAAAGUAUUAAGAAAUUGGGGUUGCCCCUUGACACAUACCUCCCAUUUUGAGGCCGCCCCCAGUUCAGACAAAAAUAGUUGAAGCCGCCCUCCUUUUCUUAUCCACCUCCCCCCGUCCCACUAUUAAUGACCGGUCCCUAAUCGAGACAGGUGGUCAUUAAUAUAUUACAAUAUACUAUUAUUUAAAGAGUGUCACAAGAAGCCGGUGAAAACAAAGUCGAAAAAAUAAAACAAAGACAAAGUACAAUACAAAACAGAAACCAAAAGAAAACACAAAGUACAAAACAAAACAGAAACCAAAAGAACACAAGACAAAACAAAACAAAAAAAAAAGGAAAUUGACUGUUACACAUAUACUAAUUACGCGGAACUGGUAGUAAUCAAUUAACUGUUGUUUUAAAUUCUUUUUAAAAGAAGAUGCGCUCAGAGAUUUAAUGGACUCGUCAAUCUGAUACUUUCCAUAAUUAGUGCGAGGUUGGGAAUGGGAAAAGGAUGAUUUCGCAGAACUUCUUGUACUAUAUAAUGAUGCUUGCAACUAACAGAUAAAAAAGUUCAUAAACUCAUAUGCAAGUUUGUUGUUGUUAAAUUUAUGCGUAAGUAAUGUUGUAUUAGGUAAGACAAAAUUUCAGGAGCUUAAGUCUCUUAAAAUUGUGAGGUGUGUGACUCGCGAUAAUGAGAAAAUGUUAUUAUACGUAUUACUUUCUUUUGAAGAAUUACUGUUGGGUGAAUAUUUGUCUUGUAUAUACCCAUAUUACUUUAUGUUGAGUAGUUUAUUUUCUUUUGUGGUGUAUGAAAUAAUAACUUUUCGACAUUGAGUGUUAAUUUGUUUGCGCAUAACCAUAUAUUUUCAGUUCAUGAUUAAGUUUAGCUUCUAGUCUUUGAAUAUUACUUUCUGAAGGAAAUAGAUUUGAAUCGUCUGCAAAAAGAUGAAAGUCUAAAUCAGGAACACAAUUAUUAAAGUCAUUUAUAUAAAGAAGAAAUAAGAGUGGACCCAAGACUGAUCCCUGUGGUACACCACAUGAAAUGUGUUCUAACUCAGAUGAUAUACAGUAGACCACAGUAAGACUUUCUGUUGGUGUAAUGUACUCAGGUGAAUAUGAUGCUUGUGAUGUUACUCUGAGUGUAUAUCCACACCGGGCAAGCUUGAAAAAUAUGCCUCGCCACGGUGGGAAUCGAACCUACGACCUUUGGAAUACUAGCCCAAUGCUCUGCCAACUGAGCUACGCGGUCAGGUCGGUUCGAGUAUGUGAUAUUUCGGAACCGAGUCUAGUUCCUUCGAUAUCAAUGCAAUCUAGUUAUCAUAAUAUUUUUUUUCAUGAGGUUAUGCAAUAACAAAGGUUAACAGCUAGGGAACCAAGCCUCGUUACGUCGGCACAUCAUGUGACCAAAAGGGGGCCGGGCGAGUAUGUAAUAAGAGAUUGGCCGCGCAUUGGUGGUAUUAGUAAUCAUUGUGCGUUGGAAGCGUAGUAAACGUAUUAGGAACAAAGUUUUUUUUGUUCCUAAUGUUGGUCCAAAGGUCGUAGGAAUUGGCCAGGCAUAUUUUUCAAGCUUGCCCGGAGUGGAUAUACACUCAGAGUAACAUCACAAGCAUCAUACUAUAAACUUAUUUGAAAGCCAUACCUGGUAUAGUUUUUACAUUAUGUUAAUCAAACACCGAUACUUUUUUUUGAGACACCCGGUAUAUCAACGUCAAUACGGCAGGGUAAAUACACAACGAAAACAAAACAUACAAACAGGAGAUAGACUUAAAUGUGUUGAAAAUCUGGCUGUAUAUACUGAAAGCCUACCGUCCAUGUCUAAAGAUUUUAUUAAAUAUUAAUUAAAAAGUCAUUAUUACUAAACAACCAAUAAGCCAAGUAUAUGCAUGUCAAAGUAACGAACUGUUCAUUCAUUAUUUUCUUUAACUUAUAGCCACAGUUAAGAGAACCGUCAUUAAAUAAUUUUUGUACCAGCAUUUUCGUCCGGUGAAGCGAAAUAAAGACAGGUACAAUUAUAGAGGAAUAUAUUUCCUAAUUUAAAGGCAAAAUAUAACUUUUAAUUGCCUUGAUGGAAUGAUGAGCUCUCGUACUAGAAAUCUGAAACCUCUUUGUUGAUUCGAAAUGUGGACUUUGAACAUCCUAAUUAAGAUCGUGUGGAAAACAGUACUGGGCUUGUCAUAAAAACUAAAGGUAUAGAAAACACUUUAUUGUAAAAUUCUCGGCUUAAAUUAUAUAUUAUUGAGUUUUGAGUUUAUUCAGUUUCUAACUUAUUGGUGAGAUGAUUUCCCAACAGGCUAUAAUUGAUAGGGGAUCCGAGGUAUCUAUACGAUUUUAACGUCCUUAUCCGAGAAGACGCGAAAGUCUAACCAUUUACUGAUGUCAAUGUAAAGGUAGCACUUUCUCCUCAAUUGUUUUAAAAUUUUGAUUGAGUAGAGGUCCGACCAAGGAUUGAACCCAGGUUUGAAUUUCAUUCCUUUCUCUCAACAAUCAAGGAAGAUUUUUGAAAUCUUUAAUCAAAGGCUUUCAGCGACAGUGCUAAAUUGAUUGCCACAGUAUGCUUUUGUUAAACUAUAUCUAACCUAAGUACUAAAUUUAUUAAAAUUGCAAUUGGCUGCCAUAGGGCUUUUUUAGCGACACGGAUUUUACCGUAUUGAAACACUGGUAUUCGAUCAAAAUCAAUAGUUCACAUAUUGUUCAAGUAUUAUCAACACAGCUGGAAACAAUUCCAGCACUUUCAACCUCGCUUUCAACGACUUGCACUAAUUUCCAAGGGCUUGUCAGGCCUGGAUUUUGUUGGGUGUUUUACAAAUUCAAGGACUUUGCAGGAUUUUCAAGGCCCAUGGACACCCUGACAUUAAAAUCAAUUCCCUUGACUCCCACGUGUGAAUUGGGUCUUAAUUAAUUUCCUGUGUGCAUUUAUGAAUUAAUUUUUGCCUGGGAUUUUGGGCAUUUGCCAUAAAUCCCAGAUAUGCCGACGCGACAGGAACUACUGGGUACAUGGAAAACGUCUACAUGCCUUUCAAUCAACAAGGCUGGCCUGCUACUGCUUGUAUAUGACUUUAGCUUGACUUUUAUGAUAGCAAUAAUAACAAUAGGCAGACAAAUUGAUUACAUCUUUUAUAAGUUGCAAUUUAAGCCGGAUACUGACCGGUUCUAUUAAUUAAUCCUGCAGACUGAAUACAGGCAAAUUAAUUAAUUGUGGCACUCCGAAGAGAGUGUGACAUUUAUUUCUAGACAGCACUGAUUGAGAAAUUCAGUCAAAAACAAAAUUCCUCCGGUAUUAACAUAUAAGUGAGUUUGGGAAACGAAAAGUCAAGGGUAGAAAACAAAAUUACUUACAUUUUUUUAGCAGAGGCAGAGCAUACAUCAGUGACCUUUCCUCAAAGUACAUAUGUUUCUUUUUAAAUUAAAAGAGUCUUAUAAGUAUUGUAUACUAGUACCAGUCAGUGACUUGGCAUAAAACACCCCAAACUACUUCAAACGUGUAAUAUUCAAGGGAUUAUAAAACUAGAAUUUAUAGUCGCCUUUGUCUUAGUGAAAAUGCUAUUGUUGAUCAACACAUUUUCUUCUAUAAGGCACUUCAGAAAAUUUUGACUCAAAAAUUUGAGUAAAAAUUGAGCCCACAGUGACUCAAAAUUGACUCAUUUUUUGGGUACAGCAAAUCUUUACAUUUGAAAUUGAAAAUUACCAAGACUGCUGUAACUGAUAUUACCUGGAAAUCUUGAAACCGGCAACAAUCAAGAAAUCAGCCCAGAUAUCAGGUGAUUUCGAAAUCUUGCAAGUAAAGCAUCGUGAAGCGGUUACCAAGUUUAGUGUGAUCCGCACAUAGGUUUCUAGUUGAAUUUAUUCCAGUAAUUAAUGGUGUGAUGGAAAUUAAUAAAUUGUUGUCGCACGCUUUGAACAGCCCUCGCAGAGCGACCCACUAUCAAAAUAAACUAGUCUGAAUCAAUGGGGAGUUGUCAUUAAUGACCUCUAGCGGGGAACAUGUUAGAACCGAGACAGCUACCCAGUGUCUGCAAAUAUUUAUGCCAGAAAACAUCUUUUUUAGAUUUACACCAGCCAAACGUCUAUAUUCGACCUUUGAGCAGCCCCGUGUCGAGACUGCAGCUGCGCGUUGCAGCACAUUGAAGCUAAAAUUAAACAUAAGAUUAAAAGUUUUUAUAAUAAAAACCUCCAGUUCGACAAAACCAGUUGUCAGGUGACAUCGUAAUCCUCCGGCAAUCGCACAUUCGCACUGCAUUGAUCCGGAAUUUCUGACAAACCUGUAUAUUAUAUUUUCUGUGAAAUGGAAGCAUCCUGGCCCUGGGGUCAGUGGUUCAAAGCUGGAUUAACACAAAAAAAUAUUUCCAUGUUUAUAAGCUAGUGGGAAGAUUUAUUUGGAGGUUUCUGUUAACCAAGAAUUAAGGCCUCUGAGCAUUUUCUCAGCCCCUGUACGUGAGUCAGGGGACGGAGCCCAUAUCAUAGCCCAAGACCAAGUACAGCGCAUAUUGUAUUUGAAUAUUUUGCGUUAGAAUUAUUAUAUAAGCUGGAGCCUGCAUGACAGGCAUUUGUGAAGAAACUGCGUUUAAAGGAGUGCUAUUUAUACUGGUAUUUAUACUCUCCAGUAUAUCAAUGAAGCUUUGUUUAGUUAGUAAACUUGCUUGCGCAAUUAACUUCGCAGUACCGUAUUUACUCGAUUGAGCGCCGCCCCCGAAUGAGCUCCGCAUUUUAGAUCAAUUUAAUUUUUUUUAAAGAGCGCCGCCCCCUAAUAAGCACCGCACCAAACAGUGUAAAAACUUUCCGCCGUCAAAAUGGAGACAUUUAGUAACAAAGACAUUUGAAAUUUGUGUGUUUCAUUGUUAAAAUUCUUGUUAUAAUUCACAACUAAAAGAUUUUUUUAAAGAGCGCCGCCCCCGAAUGAGCGCCGCAUCUGAAGCUCUGAAAAUUUAAAGCGCUCAAACGAGUAAAUACGGUAUAUGCACGUAGUGGGUGGAGCCCGACAUAUACCCAGCUCACUCAGUAAUCUAUAACACCUGAAAUGCACGCCUCCAGACUCACUAACUAAUACUCAUAAAUAGGAACAUAACCUACCAGUUUGGAUGUUUUGUUUUACAAGACAUUUUCACCAGUGGAAAGAGCCUGGGUACGGUUGGUUCAUUGUCAGCUAAAAGCAACUGUCCUUGAGCUGCAAUAAAAUUGAAAAAUUCACUUGAAAUUUCAGAGAGGAUGAGCUAAUUAAGGUGGGCUAAUGCGAGCUAAGGCAGUCUAAGGUGGGCAAAGUAAUGAAAUAAUAAUCCCGUGAGGCAGAAUAUGCCCGUUCGCAGGUUAGAAAUUAAAAUUUGAGAUUUCAAGUGGGUAUCUCUACCAGUUCUUUCCUUAUAGACGCUGUGUAAGAGAGAUUCAGAUUUUGACUUCCACAGUGACAGUUAGCGGUGGACGUCGAAUCUGAACUUCUCUCUACAAAGACAUACAUGAAGAGUAUGAUUUUAUGCCUCUCCCACUCCAAAAAUAUAAUUUGGGUCAAUAUCCGGGCACUCGGUCAACAUCUCAUUUCCUAUCAAGUGGCACUGGGUACGAGAUUGCACACAUGCAGGUCGUAUAUAAAGUACUCGAGCAUGAUCGAUAGGCGCAUUUCGCGAGUUCAUCGAAUGACCGUCUUAAUUUACAUAUUUUCCGCGACUGGUGUUUGGUGGGAGAAUCCAUUCGCAUUUAACUGAUUUGGUAAGUUACAAGCUUGAUGCAUAUUCAUCUCAGAACGGACUAUAUAACUGCUGGCUUACAAUACUGCCAUUCUAUUUUAUAGAGUAUAUUUGACUUGGCCUAGCAGGCUUACACCUAGGAUUAUUUGAAUUUUGAAUUCUAUUUAACAAAGGUCUUGAAAUAAAUUUCGACAUAAAUGUAAGCAAUAUCAAAUUGAAUAAACGAACGACAUUUUGAUGUUUAUCGCAGCAUUAUUUUCAAGUUGAAAUGCAUUAAAUUAUAAAUAACAAGCGCGUGAAUUCGUUGUGAUAUUCAAGCGACGUUAAUAGCAAAUAGUUGCGCAAAUUUGAGCAUGUAGAAAAAUACAAAUAAACAGAAUCUACAUGUACAACUAUAAAUCUGUAUGUUUAAAUUGUAACCCUUGUCGAUACAAACAUUCGUAUGUAACUUAUAUGUUAAAAGGGCCCACAGUAAUUGGUUUUAAUUGUGUGGUGUGCCAUUCGUCACCAGUAUUAUAAUAUUGUAUUUGCAUUGUAUGCAUGUCAUCAAAUAAAACUCCAACAAACGUUAGAAUGUUGAACGAAAAACGCUGGCUUUAAUAAUAACUGAUUCCAACAUCAGACGGCGAGUAUUAAGACUUCAAAAUUUAUUACGCAAGGCAUGCGGAAUAUUUCAUAGUUGAUGGGCUAUCAAACGGGGUUUUUUUUCGUUUUAAACGAAAAAUGUAUCGAUUGAUGUACAAAUGUACGAAAGAUGGAACUAUAUAUAUAUUGAGAAGAAAGCUUCGGAUACAACUACCUGAAAAAUACAAGGAGAAUUUCGACGUUUCGAGCGAAGGCCCUUGUCGGGAAAUUAAUAGCUUUCUAACUUCCUGGCGAAGGGCCUUCUUGAAAUGUCGAAGUUCUCCUUGUAUUUUUCAGGUAGUUGUAUAUCCUAUAUGAAUUCGAAGCUUUCUUAUUAUUAUUGCCACUACCUACACUGGCACAGAUUGUUCAAACCUAUAUAUAUUGCCUGAUGGUAGCGGGCAAUGGUCGCAAGAUGAUCUUUCUAGAAAUUCGAAGAAUAGUGUUAUCAAUAGUGUCUGGGAAAACAAUGGCUUAUAAAACGCCGGCAACGCAGGCUACAAUGGCUUGUUUGGAUGAACAUACAUGGAGACAUACACAUACAUAUAUUUGCAUCUGGUAGUUUUUCUGUUGUAUGAAGCGCAUUGCGCGGUCGGUAUUAAUAAUAUAAUCGCUGCAGUACAAAUUAGCUGCUGCAUGCGCAUUGAAAGAAGCAUCUCUAAGCAUAAGGCAUAAGCUAUUUUUUCCGGUUUUUGUAUCGUUUUAUACAUGCAAUUAACUGGUUUUAUCAGCCUGACAAAUUAGACUUGUUUUGUAUUAAUACUACAUCACUACCGAUAUUUUAUAAACUACGAAGCCCCCCAAUUCAAUCACGUGAUUCAAUGUACGAAAUGUUUCAUGAACCUAUUUUGCGACAUUGCGCCAUCAUGCACGGUAUAAUGAGUCGAGUGGACUCUAAUAUAGACUCUCAAUUUUUAAAAAAAAAGAAACCUUAUAAACAGAAUGACCUUACGAACGAUAACUUUUAAUUAAAGGUGUAUUCCACAUAACUUGCGCAAGGCUUUAACCGACUAUAUAUAUAUUCAUAGACUUAUAGUUGAAAUAUUUAACAACAAGCAUGAUUCUAAGCGUUGAAUGGCACGCUCAAGUAAGUGAUCUAAACACGUCUAAAGAGGUCCUUUAUAAAUUCACACCCGGUUUGGAAAUUAGCGGUAUAGCCGGCUAAACUGAAUGUAAAGUUUGUACUGAUAUGACACACCGGAAAAGCGCACAAAUUCCAAACGACAUGAGAUGAAUUAUUCGUUCGGUUCCUCCAUGUAUCACAAGGUAGACAAGCGCGUCCAUGGAACUCACAUUCGGGAGUUGAAACUUCACGUUUGAAAGCAAAGACAAACGCCAGACCAGAUUUUGUGGCAGCAUUUGCAUUUUCCUUUGUUUCUUCAUAUUUUCUUUCUUAUAGCCUACAUGUCAAAAAAAUCAUUUUCACUUCUGUUUGAACACAAUUCUGGUCCAUUCUAUCUUUAUUGUUCUACAAUGUAAAAUUUUCCCGCUUUGUCUGCUGUUUGUCGUUCGACUGUAUUAGUUGUAUUAUAUCAUCAGCAGUAUAUUUUGUCAUUGAAAUGCAUUCAUUUGUAGCUAGAAAAUUGGAGGGUAUAUAGGGUAUUUAUUCCACAAACACUUAGCGAAUGUGAAAAUCUCACAGCGAAAUGAAUUAACGCAUGCCAUGGGAAAUAAAUAUAAACAGACUUCGGAAGAAGCGAGAAUAAUUAAUAAAAUAUUUUUCUUGCCAAGAAUUUUACCGACGCGGAUUCAUGGUUAAACGAAGAUGGAUUUUAUAUGGAAAAAAUGCCAUAAGCUAGAUUAUCGUAAAAGUCUUCUCAUGGACUGAUGGAGUGAUGGAUGUAUCGAUGUUUCACCUCAAUUUUUUCUCCUCGAAAUACCGUAGACAAAUUGCAACAUCUUGGAAUAGUGAAUUCGUUCGUUCCAAGAAUGGCAUUGCUACAAUCCAAUAUAUAUUUUUACCGCACUAUCACAGUAUCAGGCAUAACCAUAUCACACGCCACCUGAUUUCUUUUGCAUAUAGACUAUAGUCUGUCAAGAUGUGAUGGUUUGGAAGCCUGUCAAACUUCAAAGCUACAAAAUAGAAAACUAUAGAAGACCUUUGUUUGAUGUUCAACUAUACCUCACCAUGCCCAAAUCCUUUGUCUCAACUUCAUUAAAUAUUAUUCAUCGUGGUUGCACGUUUCAUCUCAGCUAUCCCUAUUGGACGUGGUUGUACGAAAAUACAUGAAAUAAGCUCAAUCACCGUGCACAAAUUAACAUAAACUCAAUCAGACUUUAUGUUCAAUUUCCAGACCAUCUUGAUAGACCAUGUUUUGAAUUAGCAUUUGUUUUGCGCAUGCAUGCAGCUCAUGACUGAAGUCUGCGCUUUUGUCUAAACAGUUUUGCCCCGUCUGCAGUCUUUGAUUGUGUCUUGCCUUUCUCCCUCCCCUGGUUCGGCCUAGAGACGCAACCACAGGCGAGACUAGAACGAAACACGGCUGAAACCCUGAGACUUUUGAAAUUAUGUAGAAAAAAAUGUUCUUUUGAAUUACCUGCAGCUUUUGCUUGUUAUUAUUUAAUCUUAUUUAAGCACGAUAUCUUCAUUACAAAAAUGAUUUUAUACUUGUGUCGAAGUUUACAAUGCAGCAUACAGGCAUUUUUGUCAUAGUUUUGCCUUUUCUUUUAAGUUAUGUUUGCGCAAGACAUGACAAAAACAGGAAGAAUUUUGUUUGGAAGUUUCUUUUAUUUGUUCUGCCCUAGAUGGGGUAAUUGGAAAACGUGCACAGUAAAAUCGUUUGUGGAUCUGUGCAUGGUGAGGUAUACAGUUCAAUAUCAAACAAAGCUCUCCUAUUUUGUGGCUUUGAAGUUUGCCGGGCUUCCAUGAUAAAACUCAUAACUACUUUUUGACCACCGUUUUGUAGUUAAAUAGUAGUUAACUCUAAAAUACGCGAUUUUGAUUACUUGACUUUCGCACUGUGGUUAACUUUAAUUACCGUUUUGUACAAUCGGCCCCAGAAUAUCAAGUUGUAUUUGGCGAAUGUCUGAACUCUAUAAAAAUCAGGUACAAGUACACUGUCUCUCGUUCCCAAGGCCUUUUUGAAAAUGCGGCCUGUCUCACUGUACACUUCCAUAUAUAACUAUGAUUAGAAUCCUUUCCAAAUUUCAGUUUGAAGUGGUUCUGAUAAAAAUUGGUGUCUAAUUGUCAAGUUUCAUCUGCUGGGUUGUUACGAGGGGCAUUUCACUCCAAAAAAGCGUACGGGAUUUUCGGAUUUUUAAAAAUCCGCGGAUUUUUUAGCGGAUUUUUGAAGAGAAAAUCUGUUGGAUUUUCCGGAUUUGUGUGGAUUUUCCAGAUUUGUUCCGAUUUUUUCCAGAUUUUUUGACGAAGCGUACGGGAUUUUUGGAUUUUUAAAAAUCCGCGGAUUUUUUAGCGGAUUUUUGAAGAGAAAAUCUGUUGGAUUUUCCGGAUUUGUUCGGAUUUUUUCCGGAUUUUUUGACGAAGUGUACGGGAUUUUUGGAGUGAAAUGCCCCUCGGGUUGUUAUAUCCAGAAUUUUACUGUACAUCGUAUGUCUCACUGUAUUUGUGUAUUCGUGCGCUUAUUUUCCCAUGUUAGGCUUUUGGGAAUGAGGUGGGAUGAGGAUAACCACAGUUAGAAAAGUAAUAUUAUAAUAGUAAUAUUAGUCUAGGCUAAGUAAAUAACAUAAGUAAUCGUAAUACAUGAUGUAAUCGGUCACUGAAAAGCCCAAAUGGGGAGUGAACUGAAUAAUAAUGUAGUGUAAUUGUCCAGGUUGCUUUCUCAUGACUUGGUCCGAGCCAGGAGCAGUUGCCAAAAAUGCAACUAUAGGUCCUCUAGCAGGAGUCGAACCUGCUGCCUUGCGAUUCCGGUGCAGUGCUCGAACCAACUGAGCUACAGAGGCCAAUUGUCGAGCUCUAACCAACUGAGCUACAGAGGCCAGUUAUCGAGUAUUAACCCCAAGUUCACGUAAGGGGAUGCCAGUGUAUUAAGGUAUAUGUUUUUGGGUAAAUCACGGUAAAAUUUACAAAUGUCGAAUGAGGUGUCCAAACAUAUUUAUUGCUAAUAUUCAUUGGGGUAAUCAAAGACAUAUGAACAUAAAGAAUGUGACAUAAGCUUCAUAUUAGCACAAGAUUAGAUUACAGGAAAGCAGGGAAGAACAAAAGGAAAUUCAAUUCAUUCUUUUCAUGCUUUGUUUGCGUCCGGAGAAAUGCAGUAUCAACUGGCACGCGAUGAAAGCCUAGUUUGAUGUUAUCUCCACUUUUUAGCGCUAGACGUAUGCCAUAUGCACCAUUGAUCCUGAAACUAGCAAUGAAUAGUAGUGCAUCUGCUAUGCAAAGAAAGAUGACGUCAAUGGCAGCCAUAUUGGUAGAAAUUCUGACGUAGUAGAAGCAUUGAACUAUAAAUAAACUGGAAGGCUAACUCAGGGGGGGAAAUUGAAGCCAGUGCAUUUUAGUUUUUCUGAGUUAUGAGCAGAAAUACUCAACACUGAACGUUGGGCUAUAUAUCAAAUUGAAGCUAUUGAAAAACGCUAUUUGGUGUAGAAAUUUCAAGACUUUAGCUAAAAGGGAAAUAUUGAAAAACUACAAACAUAAUUACCGAUAAUUUGCCGUUUUGCAGUUGUUUUUGUAUUUUUUAAAUAUUUUUCUUUUCGCUGAAGUCUUGAAAUUUCCACACCGAAUAGCAAUUUUCAAUAGCUUCAAUUUGAUAUAUAGCCCAACGUUUGGGGUCAAGUAUUUCUGCUCAUAACUCAGAAAAACUAUUUUGGCUUCAUCAAAUCAUAGGCCUUCAUCAUAUAGCAGUUAGCCUUCCAGUUUAUUUAUAGUUCAAUGAGUAGAAGAGGUUCAUUUGCAUAAUAAGUUGUCAUGGCAAUAAUAUAAUAUUUGUUUUGGUUUGUGGAUAACACCGCAUGCAUUUAUUAUUGCAAAGCUCUCGAUCCGUAAGCCCGGAUCUUCAUCUGUGCUCGAGGCUUUGUUUCCAAUUCACACACAGAAAUAGAUCACGACACUUUUCGUUUUGAAGGACGUGCGAAUUUGAACAAAGCCUUAAUAUCAUAAGCACUAAUGAAGAUCAGACAAUACAAACAAACAUACGUGGUGCUACCCACAAACUAAAUCUAAAACAAAUACAUUUGCAUAAUCUACGGUAUUCAUUGCAGAAAAAUUCAAUUUGAAUUGGGUGGAUACUUCAAUGUCUUUGAGUGCAAAAUAUAAAUCUACUGGUUUUUCUUUUUGAUAAUCUUUUCAUCAAUAACGAUAUGUGUACAGUACAGAAAAGCCUUGCUAAGUACAAGCAUGAAUAAAGGAGGCAAAACACAAAAAAAAGGAAUGCAGUACUUAAAGCUUGUGACAUAAGCUUCGAUUUUCACCGCACAUCGUUUUGGCCAAGGUCACGUACCGAAACUGUGGGUUCUCAUUGGCUAGUUAAUUCAAGCAGCCCAGUAUUAAGCUUACAACAUCCGCGUGAUAUGUUCUUUGUUUAUACUGGCUUGAGUUUAAUCGGCAAAUGACGUCAACUAGUUUCACGCUGAUUGGUUGAAUGGUUGCAAACAUUUCAGUUUCACGUGGGAAAAUACAAUGUUUUUGUCUGUAACCUUCUAGAAGUCACCUAAAGGCCCAUGGUAGGAACACUGUGCCAAUAAGAGAUGUCCUUCUCGGGGACAAACUAUACAGGCUUUUAGUAGAUAAAAGCGUUUUCUAAAGCAAAUUCGUAAACGGGGGGGGUACACCCCCACAUCCCCCGGUCGCUACGUCCCUGCCUACAAGGUUUGAACAUCUAUAAAAUCAUCCGUCAGAAGAAGAACAUCGCACCUUAUUAAGCUGUGCUCUUUGUCCUAUUAAAAAUCAAAGGCCGUUGAGGCCGACUCACGGAUAAGAUCAAAUGAAAGUGACAGAAAGAAUUAGAGCAGUUUGCAGUUGUUUUUGCAAACCGGGCACCGUGCGAAUUUUGCCAUUUCACUCAUUUGUCGUGCUUCAUCAUGCCAAAUCAAAAGAACGAACGCGUGCUGCAGUCGGUUCUGAAAGGCCCGAUUCGCAGGCAAACAGUGCGCGCAAAGCAGGCUGGUCAUUUCCCAUUGUUUAACUGCCCCACACUCACCCCACACUCAAGAAACCACAAAGACUCGCAGAUCAUCCCUGAGUCAAAAACGAGCGUCUCCAAAUAUGGGCAGAGAUUUAAAAUCGUUCUAUUCAUUUCCAGGUUACUUUUAGAUGGCAUAACAUGGUAUCCAACAGAGAAUUCUAUUCCAGUAACUGCAAUUACCAAGUACAGUAAACAGACGGGUUCCCACUUGCGUGCGUCAUACUCUGACACCGGAUAUUAUUCUAAAUUACCGAUCCUUGGCUUUUCUCAUAAACAAGUCAUUUCAGGGCAGUGCUUUUCAGAACGUUUCAGAAACGAGCUGAGCUGGACCUUGUUCUACACAGUCAUAUCAAACUACAAGAAAAAGUCUUGUUUUAAG